rnacentral:rRNA from 1 species
GCUGGCGGCGCAUUUAAGACAUGCAAGUCGAACGAAAAUUUUUCACCGAACGGAUAUGAAGAUUUAUCAGAUUUGAAGUUCACCGAAAAAUUUUAGUGGCGGACGGGUGAGUAAUACGUAGAUAAUCUGCCUUUCAGAGGGAAAUAACAGAGGGAAACUUUUGCUAAUGUCCCAUAAGACCACAUUAUGGCAUCAUAAAGUGAUCAAAGGAGUAAUCCGCUGAAAGAUGAGUCUACGGCUGAUUAGCCAGUUGGUGGGGUAAUGGCCUACCAAAGCUAUGAUCAGUAGCCGAGCUGAGAGGCUGGCCGGCCACAUUGGGACUGAGAUACGGCCCAGACUCCUACGGGAGGCAGCAGUUGGGAAUAUUGGACAAUGGAGGAAACUCUGAUCCAGUGACGCCGCGUGAAGGAAGAAGGUCUUCGGAUUGUAAACUUAUUUUGUCAGGGAAGAAAUAAAUGACUGUACCUGAAGAAAAAGCACCGGCUAACUACGUG